rnacentral:antisense_RNA from 1 species
UUCAAUGGCGGGCCGAGUGGGGAGACCUUAUCGGUCUGCCGGUGCUGGUGCCGGUUCGCCAACCCCGCUUCGGCCUGCCACCCGC